GAUGAACGCUAGCUACAGGCUUAACACAUGCAAGUCGAGGGGUAACAAGAGAAAAGCUUGCUUUUCUUGUUGACGACCGGCGCACGGGUGAGUAACGCGUAUCCACCCUGCCUAUAACUAGGGAAUAACCUUGCGAAAGUAAGACUAAUACCCUAUGAUUUCCUUUGAUGACAUCAGAUUAGGAAUAACAAUUUAUAGGUUAUAGAUGGGGAUGCGUCUGAGUAGCUUGUUGGCGGGGUAACGGCCCACCAAGGCAACGAUCAGUAGGGGUUCUGAGAGGAAGGUCCCCCACAUUGGAACUGAGACACGGUCCAAACUCCUACGGGAGGCAGCAGUGAGGAAUAUUGGUCAAUGGGCGGAAGCCUGAACCAGCCAAGUAGCGUGCAGGAUGACGGCCCUAUGGGUUGUAAACUGCUUUUAUACAGGAAUAAAGUUAGCCACGUGUGGUUAUUUGUAGGUACUGUAUGAAUAAGGACCGGCUAAUUCCGUGCCAGCCGCCGCCGUAAUAC
rnacentral:rRNA from 1 species